AUACUUACCUGGUACAGAGAAAACCGUGAUCAAAAAUGGCGGUUUCCCC
rnacentral:snRNA from 1 species